UUGCGUUUUAAUAAAAAAAAGAAUGAGAGCUAAUAGUUUUACCAUUAUGCCCUUAGAAAUGAUGAUGUCAUAUUGGUUUUAAUUUUAUUUUAUUAAGGUAACGGGAUUUUAAAUUUUAUGAUAUUUGGGACUUUUUUGUCAAAAAAAAAAAAAAAAAAAAAAAAAAAAAACAAAAUCUUCCUUCACUUCUCAUGUUUGGUAUGUUAA
rnacentral:lncRNA from 1 species